GCUACAGCGAGAGGAUUUUCAAAGUUAAGAGGCAAAGUUUUGGACAGAAACAAGCUAUGGAAUAUAUAAUAAUAUAUAUUUCACAAAAGCUAUUCUUGUGGUUGCUGUUCAAGGCAAAAAGUACUUUGCACUGCAACUUCACAGUGCGACAGGUAGCCAUUGCUCGGAGGGUUCGACGAUCGUUGGGCGGGCCGGUUCUGGCGCGCUGAGCCCAUCGUCGAACUAUCAAACUAUCGGAAGGUCCAUCUUGAACUACGGCGGUGCAGUGUGGUCUCCCUCCCGCAAGCCAUCGCACUGGAAGAAGCUCCAGACUCGGCAGAGUCACCACCGACUGCCUGGCCAUGGCUAACGAGGACCACCUCCAUCGUGAGACCAAAAUCCUACCGGUGAAGCAACACAACGAACUACUCGCCCGGCGGUAGCUGCUAUGUUACCAGACACCCGCACACCCGUGCCAUCGGCUGUCAAAUGAACCAUAUCAACCGCGCUUAGUUCACCAUGACAUUCGUAAAUACCGUCAAGACAUCGACGAAGAGAUCCUCACCGACACGGUGUUCGCAGAACGAGCCUACCCAGACGGGCUACGUAGGCUCCACCGAACGGCGGUUGAAGUACCGGCUACAAAACGGUCAUCAUCCUUGGUGGCUACCCUACUCCGAGGUGGACAAAACCGAAAUCGAUCUUCCGCGGGACACUAGAUCCAAACUAUCGCAACUCCGCUGAAUGUUCAAUGACUAUCUGGCUCGUGUCGACAAUACUAUCGUCAACCUCUCCCCGAAAUGCGGACAGCGCCCUCACGACACGCAGCACAUCUUCAACUGCGCAGCGGCUUCCACAAAGACCUGUGGAAACGCCCGAAGGAGGUGGCUGCCUUCCUGGAACUAGAACUCGACUGAACAAUGCAAUUGCCUGACAACAACAACAACGUCAACAACAAUGUGAUAGGUGAAGUCUGUUCCUGCAUCAAUCCAUUAGAGCUUCAGCUUCAAAUAUUGGUUGAGCUUCUGUGAAAAAUGGAGUCACAAGCUGUAUGGACUCAAACCUUCGACCCUCCUUCACAGAGGUGGAUGAGUCAGUUGGAUGAUUGGAAGAUGUCACCUCCGUCUUAGGGAUGGUCAUCCACGACGUCAUCUAUGGGCACGACCCACGGCACAAAGACAACUAAGAUCUCUUCAGCAACCAGUCCUGAAUUCCAUAUUUUGUUCAUUCACAGAAGGGAUUCCAACCUCCAACCCUCUUUCUAUCCAUGGCACAUGAUUUCUAUGUCCUUGCCAAUGUACAGAAAUUCACCUUGGAGUCCAGCAAUUAGCCUUACCAAUUCAUUUAGAAUUUAUUCUGACAGUUUAUCACCCCACCCUGAGUGACUCAUAUUCUUUAUCAACAGAAACGC